rnacentral:lncRNA from 1 species
UUUCAAUUCUAGUUCUACACUGUGUAAGUCUAGGGUCUCAGGACAGUUUCCCAUCCUAAAACAAAUAGCUUCAAGUUAAUUCUUUCAUGGAGUUUCAGGAUAUAUUCUAUAGCCUGGUUUCUGGACUGAAGAUUCUUUAUCUUCUAGGACCCUUUAAAGAACAGCGAAUACUCCUAGGAAUGGUACAAUCACCAAGUCCCUUCUUUUGCACUCCCAACUCCAGAAUAACCAGGGCUCUGUUGCCUGCUUCCUUCUGUCUUCAAAGUUAAAAUCCUGGCUUUGAGCCAUGCCCACAGGAGCCUGAUCUACGCCCUCCUGCUACGGAGAGUGUCCGGACUGCUCGUUAAGACAACACCCGUGAAUCCCAAGAUCACUUCCCUCCUGGAAUGAAGAAUUGCAGAGGCUCGUUAAACUUUUUUUUCUUGGCACGAAACCAUCUGGCAUCUACCCAAGGAAUUCUGGGGUCCUGCCGAAUCUAAGUUUAGAAACCACCAGAACAAGGUACUGCUUCAGGAUGGUAUCUGAAUCAAGUACAGCUAGUCUGUCUCCUUAAAGGCUUAAAGGGUCCAUUCUUCUCCCUUCCCAUAACCCCACCUUGCAGAAACCAGCUAUCUACCAGCAGAUAUUGAUGACAAAGUAUUGCUACACUAAGGCAGGGCGAUGUCAUGGGAAUCCAGACUCAUCACUAUCCAAGUACUUUGGGCUGCUUCCUCAAUGAGCCAAGACACACUGUUGGCCACUCCUGGGGAUGUCACAAACUGGUCACUGCUCAUACACAAGGAGCCUGGGACACUUGAAGCCUGUCAUCCAUUAUUAAACAAGUUGCCCAUCUGAAAACAGUUCCUAGCCUGGUUGGAAAAAAUGAGAAAAAUCGCCUUUCCUCCAAAGCUGCUUGCCAGUGGGAGCAUACUAUGAAAACCAGGGCUGGCUGGAUGAGCCUGAGAGUCGAAGCACUGGGGAACAGAUCUGAGAAGGACAAGCUUUAGCUAUCAACCAGAAGCAACAAACAACUCCCAGUGACUCCACGCAGCCACUGGAAACUGUCCAUGUGCCUGUCACAACUCAUCCCUUGUUGCAGAGGUGCCAGAGGCAAAGCUUCCGUGGUGGCCGGCAGGGCCCCUAUCAAUAUGCCAUGGUAGCCUCUGGACCCCAGCAGUCAGAGAACUAUAGCUCCUUUGGCGACAGCCAGACCCUGGAACCUCACAGAAGGCCGAACACCUGACACCCCAAAGCUACACAGUGAGACCAGCCGAACACUCAAUUCCCAGGGCCAAGGCGAUGAGUAAAUGGACCCUAACACCAAGAAGCUCCUACUGCACAGCAAGGAAACCACUCCAGUGGGUUAGUGGGCACGAAAGCCACACAUAAAGGUGUAGUUUAUGACAAGAUGUAAGUAUUAAUCCAAGUAACUGGAGGGAGAAAAAAG